CUCUGGUAGCUUAGUGGUUAGAGCGUUCGCCUCGUAUGUGGGAGGUCGCACGUUUGAACCCCAGACGA